rnacentral:pre_miRNA from 1 species
GAACUACUCCCUCCGUCCCAAAUUUGUCUAAAUACGGAUGUAUCAAGUCACGUUUUAGUAUUAGGUACAUCCGUAUCUAGACAAAUCUAAGAAAAGAAUUUUGGGACGGAGGGAGUACACU